GAUGAAGAACACAGCGAAAUGCGAUAACUAAUGUGAAUUGCAGAAUUCAGUGAAUCAUCGAGUCUUUGAACGCACAUUGCGCCCCCUGGUAUUCCGGGGGGCAUGCCUGUCCGAGCGUCAUUGCUGCCCUCAAGCACGGCUUGUGUGUUGGGCUCCGUCCCCCCGGGGACGGGCCCGAAAGGCAGCGGCGGCACCGAGUCCGGUCCUCGAGCGUAUGGGGCUUUGUCACCCGCUCUGUAGGCCCGGCCGGCGCCAGCCGACAACCCAUCAUCCUUUUCAGGUUGACCUCGGAUCAGGUAGGGAUACCCGCUGAACUUAAGCAUAUCAAUAAGCGGAGGA
rnacentral:misc_RNA from 1 species